rnacentral:rRNA from 1 species
AACGAACGCUGGCGGCAGGCUUAACACAUGCAAGUCGAACGCCCCGCAAGGGGAGUGGCAGACGGGUGAGUAACGCGUGGGAAUCUACCGUACCCUACGGAAUAACGCAUGGAAACGUGUGCUAACACCGUAUACGCCCUACGGGGGAAAGAUUUAUCGGGGUAUGAUGAGCCCGCGUUGGAUUAGCUAGUUGGUGGGGUAAAGGCCUACCAAGGCGACGAUCCAUAGCUGGUCUGAGAGGAUGAUCAGCCACAUUGGGACUGAGACACGGCCCAAACUCCUACGGGAGGCAGCAGUGGGGAAUAUUGGACAAUGGGCGCAAGCCUGAUCCAGCCAUGCCGCGUGAGUGAUGAAGGCCCUAGGGUUGUAAAGCUCUUUCACCGGUGAAGAUAAUGACGGUAACCGGAGAAGAAGCCCCGGCUAACUUCGUGCCAGCCGCCGCUGUAAAAC